rnacentral:rRNA from 1 species
UGGGGAAUAUUGCACAAUGGGCGCACGCCUGAUGCAGCCAUGCCGCGUGUAUGAAGAAGGCCUUCGGGUUGUAAAGUACUUUCAGCGGGGAGGAAGGUGUUGAGGUUAAUAACCUCAGCAAUUGACGUUACCCGCAGAAGAAGCACCGGCUAACUCCGUGCCAGCAGCCGCGGUAAUACGGAGGGUGCAAGCGUUAAUCGGAAUUACUGGGCGUAAAGCGCACGCAGGCGGUCUGUCAAGUCGGAUGUGAAAUCCCCGGGCUCAACCUGGGAACUGCAUUCGAAACUGGCAGGCUAGAGUCUUGUAGAGGGGGGUAGAAUUCCAGGUGUAGCGGCGAAAUGCGUAAAGAUCUGGAGGAAUACCGGUGGCGAAGGCGGCCCCCUGGACAAAGACUGACGCUCAGGUGCGAAAGCGUGGGGAGCAAACA